GAUGAACGCUGGCGGCGUGCCUAAUACAUGCAAGUCGAGCGGUAAGGCCCUUCGGGGUACACGAGCGGCGGACGGCUGAGUAACAUGUAGGAACGUACCCCAAACUGAGGGAUAAGCACCAGAAAUGGUGUCUAAUACCGCAUGUGCUCUAAGGAGUAAAGCUUCGGCGGUUUGGGAACGGCCUGCGCACGAUUAGAUUGUUGGUGAGGUAAUGGCUCACCAAGUCGACGAUCGUUAGUUGGUCUGAGAGGAUGAUCAACCAGACUGGGACUGAGAACGGCCCAGACUCCUACGGGAGGCAGCAGUAGGGAAUUUUCCACAAUGGGCGAAAGCCUGAUGGAGCGACGCCGCGUGCAGGAUGAAGGCCCUCGGGUUGUAAACUGCUUUUAUAAGUGAAGAAUAUGACGGUAACUUAUGAAUAAGCACCGGCUAACUACGUG
rnacentral:rRNA from 1 species